rnacentral:rRNA from 1 species
CACGUAGGCACCAAGCGUUGUCCGGAUUUAUUGGGCGUAAAGAGCGUGUAGGCGGUUCGGUAAGUCGGCUGUGAAAGUCCAGGGCUCAACCCUGGGAUGCCGGUCGAUACUGCCGGACUAGAGUUCGGUAGGGGAGACUGGAAUUCCUGGUGUAGCGGUGAAAUGCGCAGAUAUCAGGAGGAACACCGAUGGCGAAGGCAAUCCCCUGGACCUGUACUGACGCUCAUGCACGAAAGCGUGGGGAGCAAACAGG